UCUAUGAAUGUUGGCUCAGCUGAAAUUCCACCAUCCAAAUUACACUCAGGACUUUCAAAUUCAUCAAUAGAGCUUUCUAGUGCACCUACCAUUGGAUCAGCAGAGGAACCUACUUCUCCACCACCUCCUCCACAGCCUUCACUACCUCCACGACCUCCGCCACCUCCACCACCUUCACUACCUCCACAACCUCCGCCACCUCCACGACCACCUGUAAUGACUCCUGCGGUUCCAAAGGCUGCUCCUUCUGCUCCUGCUCCACCCCCUCCCAGACCCAAAAAAAUACCUGGUGCACCCCCUCCACCUGCACUGAAAGCUACUUUCCCUCCUCGUCCACCACAAUCAAACCCAAGUUCAUCAAGUGUACCUCAGCCUUCUUUCCUUGGGCCAAAAC
rnacentral:lncRNA from 1 species